UCACUUUUAACAACGGAUGUCUUGGUUCUCGUAACGAUGAAGAACGCAGCGAAACGCGAUAUGUAAUGUGAAUUGCAAGAUAACGUGAAUCAUCAAAUUUUUGAACGCACAUUGCGCUUCCCGUUUACUCGGGGAGCACGUUUGGCUGAGCGUCA
rnacentral:rRNA from 1 species